rnacentral:rRNA from 1 species
CCUACGGGUGGCAGCAGUGAGGAAUAUUGGUCAAUGGACGAAAGUCUGAACCAGCCAAGUCGCGUGCAGGAUGACGGCCCUAUGGGUUGUAAACUUCUUUUGUACGAGAAUAAACCGUUCUACGUGUGUUCUUCUGUAUGUACUAUACGAAUAAGGAUCGGCUAACUCCGUGCCAGCAGCCGCGGUAAUACGGAGGAUCCGAGCGUUAUCCGGAUUUAUUGGGUUUAAAGGGUGCGUAGGCGGAGUGUUAAGUCAGUUGUGAAAGUUUGCGGGUCAACCCUAACAGUGCAGUUGAAACUGGCAGUCUUGAGUACAGUAGAGGUGGGCGGAAUGCGUGGUGUAGCGGUGAAAUGCUUAGAUAUCGCGAAGAACUCCGAUUGCGAAGGCAGUUCACUGGAGUGGAACUGACACUGAGGCACGAAAGUGUGGGUAUCGAACAGGAUUAGAUACCCUGGUAGUC